rnacentral:ncRNA from 1 species
AAUUUAAAGCGCCGGGACCGCACACGGCAUAGCGGUUGACGAGGUCGGGGUUUAUCGAAAUAUUCGGCGGAUGCCCCGCGGUCACACACGGAUCGCAAAGGUACGGCAAAAACUCCGGGUAACCGGAAAACAAAGCG